rnacentral:rRNA from 1 species
UACAGAGGUCUCAAGCGUUGUUCGGAUUCAUUGGGCGUAAAGGGUGCGUAGGCGGCGCGGUAAGUCGGGUGUGAAAUCUCAGGGCUUAACUCCGAAACUGCAUUCGAUACUGCCGUGCUUGAGGACUGGAGAGGAGACUGGAAUUUACGGUGUAGCGGUGAAAUGCGUAGAUAUCGUAAGGAAGACCAGUGGCGAAGGCGGGUCUCUGGACAGUUCCUGACGCUGAGGCACGAAGGUCAGGGGAGCAAACGGG